rnacentral:rRNA from 1 species
GACGAACGCUGGCGGCGUGCUUAACACAUGCAAGUCGAACGAAGUGGCGAACGGGUGAUUAAUACGUGGGUAACCUGCCCUCCUUUUUGGGAUAAGCCUUGGAAACGGGGUCUAAUACCGAAUACAGGUGGAGGGGCUCGCGGCCUAUCAUCUUGUUGGUGGGGUUAUGGCCUCCCCAGGCGGUGACGGGUAGCCUGCCUGAGAGGGGGAACGGCAAAAUUGGGACUGAGAAACGGCCCAGACUCCUACGGGAGGCAGCAGUGGGGAAUCUUCCGCAAUGGACGAAAGUCUGACGGAGCAACGCCGCGUGAGUGAUGACGGCCUUCGGGUUGUAAAGCUCUGUUAAUCGGGACGCGGUACCGGAAUAGAAAGCCACGGCUAACUACGUGCCAGCCGCCGCGGUAAUUC